GCGCUGGUGGUGUAGGGGUUAAGCAUGCCACCCAUAUAUAGAGGCUACAGUCCUCGAAGCGGGCGUCCCGGGUUCGAGUCCCGGACCUGGAGACCU